CACCGUCAACUGCGAUCCCCCCAUACUGCCCUCGCUGUUCUGAGCACGCCAUAACCCCAUUGCGUCAGUCGUCGUCGUGGAGGAACCCCUUGCCCAACCAACAUACAAAACGCUAUCGCCAACGCCCUCACUACUGUGACAUAGAUAGGGUUUGCCCUGUAUGGAUCUCCCUCCCUCUCUCAAUCGGCUGCCACCGUUGUUCUUCUGGCUGUUGUUUUACUCGUGUUAUUUUCUGCUUCUUCUUGCCUGUUAGACGAAACCAACCCUUCUCGCCCUCCCUCGCGCCCCUCCCCUCCCUCCAUCCUUCGUCCCUACUCACCCCACCGCUUUCUUUUUUAAUUGUUGUUUGUCGUUCUGUUCGUGCCUUUCCUUCUUUUCCAUUCGCGUGUGUGUGUGUGUGGGGGGGGGGGGAGGACACCAGCGCACGCAUCUCAAAGCAGACAUACGCGCAUACACGCAAACCAUCCGUCAUGGCUUCCUCCACCGAACUCAUGCCGCACUCCGAGCGCGAUGGCUCCGAAGGUAGUGUACCGUAUCCUCAUCGUGUUGGGGAGACUCUCGUUUUGGAGCUCAACACGCUUUGCCGGCUGCGCGACUUCUACGAGCAGCACACCUUCGAUACACAAGGGCCGUAUGCAGACUUGUUUGCGGUUCUCCUCUCAUCAUGCAAGCACGUGAUCGAUAUCAACGUGGAACUCGUUCACCACAUCAAGGCUCAGCAAGACCAACAGCGGCGGCAGCAGGUCGCCUGUGAUGUUCUCUGUCGUGAAGCGGCACUGCAGCGUGCUGACAUCAAACACCUUCGCGCCGCCCUGGAGCAUCUGUCUGCGCGCAGAGCAAGUGGAGAAGCAUCCGUGGUCAAGUGCGAAGAUGAUGAUACUGGGCUUGGCAACGGCUCAGCAGCCUCGUCGCAUGCUUCGCCGAAAAACGAAGCAGCUACAGCAGAGUGUUGCCAGCACGUUUCCCAAAGAAGCCCCGCGGCGUCCCUGGCACCGCAGCGCAGUACAGGUGCCGCCUCCCCUUCCUCGGCUGCAGUCGGCCUUGAGCGAUCAUCGUUGUCUACAGCAUCAGCUUCUCUUGUAGGGCCCGUUUCGCAAGCGCACGCCACCGUGACCUUUGCCCCCACAGAAGCCCCAGCACAGCCAAUCAACUCGCUGACGCACUCCUCGCCUUCUGACCACGCCUGCGGGGGCGCAUGGGCAGCAGAGAUGGUGCGCCGCACGGACGCCAUGCAGGGCAGCUCGGCUACCGUACUCGUGGAUGGCCAGUUGUCUUCCGUGCGACUCGAUGAAGAGCAGCGGAAGCAGCAGCAGUCCUCUACUGCCUUGUUUGCGCCCUCUGAAGCAAGGAAGCACCACGCCGAGGACGCCGUUGAGAGCCACCUUGAGCACUUGACGCGUCACUUUGCUGCGGUGGACCCGCGCGUGCACAAACAGCGGCGAAUGUGGGGGGAGGAGGAGGACGUUGGCAGCAGGAGUCCGUCAUCAUCACCAGUAGCGGCUUCGGGAACGGCAGGCGAGAGUGAAUUUCCUCAUUCAUGUACGACUGUGGCUGGUCAUGCUCGGUCAAACCCCCAGGAGUCCAGUCAACGCCAAGGAACCUCUGUCGCCUCGCCUGUCGGCACUUGGACACCACCGGCGGUACUUGUGCGUUGGCUCGACAGUCGGCUCCGUCGAUGGAAAGCGGAGUGGAAAAGAGUGCUUGAAGACGUGCAGGACGCGCUUCUCCUUGAUGCUACCGUCGAUGCUCAGACGUUGCGUCCGAUUGCACAUGCAGCAGGUCAGCAGGAGGCACAUGUGAACCUAGGGACUGCCCACGAAAGAGCCUCCGAGAGCAACGGAGGCGCUGAAGCGGUCAUGACUCCAAGCUGCCGUGGCGACCUUGUGUGUGUCAUCCGAGCUCUUCUUUCUUCUCACGGCACGGAGCUGUACAAGCAAAUCGUCGCCGAAUCCACCCGACAAGUCCAACGCACCGAUGAAGAACUGCAUGAUUUGCGCUCCAGGCUGGAGGCACUCGAGGUAUACGCGCCGCAUCGCUACGCCGUCACUGCCCGACCGCCGCUGCUUGGAGUGGAGCUAGAGGACGUGCUCGAGCCGCGCAUCGGAGUGCGGCUGCGCACGGUGUACCAUCACUACCUCGCCGACCGCGCUGGACUCAGCGUGGGCGAUGUCCUCGUCGGCGUCGGCCACCAAUCCAUCCAGACACGCGCGCAGCUACACGUCGUGCUGGGGGAGCUGACCCGUGACUACAAUGCGCAGUGCCACAUACAGAUCGAGGAAGGCUUCAUGCGGAGUUUUGCCCUCGGUGAUCAGUGCUGCGUCAGGGACGGCCACUGCGUUGAGUGCCAUUCACCUUAUCGCGAGGCAACGGUAGAAAGAAAAGGCAAUGACUAUGGACUUGGCCAAGAACUUCAACGCGCCCGUUCAGAAGCAGCGGCAGCGGUUGCUGGAGGCACUAUCCCUAGCGACGCACGUUCGUCAGCUCGAUGGAUGUAUAUGCACUCGUCGCUUAAAGGCCGUGCAGCUAUGGCAGGCUCGUCUGCCGCCGCCUCGCCCUUCCUCUCCACAUUCCACAGUGCCGCCCAGCACAAGGAAAAGCUAGCCCAAUAUCUGCCCUACUUCGAACUGUGCCUUCACGUUGUGCGUGACGGUCGAUUGCGUGACGUGACACUUCUGAUUCCGCCAUGGGAAGCUCUUCGAUCGGCGGCGUACUAAGGUGGCUGCCGUCCUCCUCCUCCCACCCCCCCCUGCUGACUCUCCCGAGCGCGUAUGUGGUAGCGAGGUGGCGAGCAGGCGCACCGGUGCGCGCCCUCGUGAGUGCUUUUCUUUCGAGUCAAGAUACAGCGCUGUUCGUUAAAAUCGGUGAAGCAUCCGCCACCCGCUUCUGAGAGUGCCACCCGCAUCAGAAGACGGGGGAGAAAGGUGCCUCGUCAGCGAAACUCUCUCCCUGCUGCUCCGGUGCACCGCAUUCGCCGAGGCUGGCGUUGGCGCCACAAUAGACACAGGUGGAAGCACUUACACAUGCACACACACACACACCUCCUUAAAACGCAAAAUUAAAACAGGAAAACGAGAGCCAUCACUCGGCAUGUGUAGGACCUGUCUUUAUCAUCUUGUUGCUCUGCAAAUGCGCAUCAAGACAGCGAGGAGCGCGCUUGCGGCAUACCCCUCAACGACCCACCCACUCACACCCCUUCUUUCCCUUUUCUUAGACCAUUGAAAGAAGCGAAGAGAGACGCUCUCCGCCGCACGCCGACUCGUACCAUCUCUCCCUCCCCUUCCUCCUCAUCUCUCCUUGAAG
rnacentral:misc_RNA from 1 species